AAGACAGCGUUGUUCAAAUUCCCUCAGUGGAGCUCACCAUUUAGCAGGUUGACUACUUAGAUCGAAUAUCCCCGAGUAUUGAUUCUUUACUUAUGCUGUGAGAAGAGAUUCAACAUCAGCUCUUUUUCAAAGUGUUAAGCAGGGCCGCCUAGUGGCCUUGUGACCCCCUCCGAAGACGGUGUCAGGAGCGGAUUUUGACUGGGGUGGUACGUCCGUCAAACUGUGACGCAGGUAUCCUAAUGCCAGCUGAGAGAAUAAGGAAACUCCUCGUAGAGCAAAGGGGCAAAAGUUCGCUUGAUCCUGACGUUCAGUAUGAGUACAGACCGCGAAAGCGUGGCCUAUGCAUCCUUUUAAUCUAGAUGGUUUCUGGUAAGAGGUGACAGAAAUAUUACCAGAGGGAUAAGUGGCUCGUGGCAGCUAAGCGUCUAUAGCGACGUUGCUUUUUGAUCCUUUGAUGUCAGCUCUUCUACCAUUGCGAAGCCGAAUUCGCCAAGCGUUGGGUUGUUCACCCACUAACCUGGAAAGCGAGCUGGGUUCAGACCCUCAUGAGACAAGUUGGUU
rnacentral:ncRNA from 1 species